UUUAUUAACAAAGUCUGCAAACUAUUUACGUACGAAAUGCAGAUUGUGUUCUUUGCAUUUUGAGGAAUCAAACAAAUUCAAAUAUUCUAAUGAAUUGGUAUGGAAUGUCAUUCCUACAAAAUUUGAAAACACACCUGAAAAAGUGACAACGAAACGAAAAUUGUCUGUACAAAAUGAUGACCUUGUCCCAACACCAGCAAAACUUACGAAGGAUUCAGUUUUAGCGGAUGAGCCCGGCGUCUAUGAUAAGCCUUCUGAUGAUUUUGUAACAAGAGAUGGAUCACAAUCUAGCAAAAUUGAUUCAGAUUAGAAAGAAAGUGCAAGAAAUUAAUGGCAAGAGAUAAACGUAACAGAACAAAAAUUGCAAGGCUGAAGGCAAAGAUUAAAAAAAUGAAGAAGUUAAAUGAUGAUUCCACAAAAUAUGUAUUUGAAAAGUGCAGAAAGUAUAUGAGCGGUAAAGCUUUAGCUUUCUUUUCCAGCCAACUUAAGAACUGUAGGAGACGGAGUAAGGGCAGACGUUCCAGCAAAGAUGACAGACAAUUUGCAAUGGCACAACACUAUCAAUCCCCUCGAGCUUUAUAUAGGUUUUGCAGGCGAUACUUUGCACUCCCUCAUGAGAAAAACCUUCAAAAGUGGCUAGGGCAAAUUGAGAUCCAGCUAGGGUUCAAUAAUUCUACGUUUGAAUCGCUUAAAUUACGCUGCUCUACAUUCGGCCCAAAAGAGAAAGUAUGCGUCCUCACCAUCGACGAAAUGAGUCUAAAGGCUGGGUUAACAUAUGACCAACAUAAAGAUGUAAUGGAGGGAUUAGAAGACUACGGGAGCCUGGGAAAAACACAAAAAGUUGCGACGCAGGCACUGGUCUUUAUGGCCCGCGGAAUGUCUUCCAAAUGGAAGCAGCCAUUGGGGUAAUUUCUUGCUUCCGGCGCUACCCCAGGUACCACACUACAACUUCUGUUAAUGGAUUGUAUUAAUAGAUUACAUGCCACUGACUUAAUGGUAAAGGUAGUAAUAGCAGAUCAGGGUUCUAACAACCGCAGUAUGUUUACAGCCCUAGGCAUAACUGCCGAAAAGCCCUAUAUAACCUACAAUUUCGGCGAUGGGAGUGAUAAUUACAAGAUCUUCUUUAUGUUCGCUCCUCCCCAUUUGCUCAAAAGUAUAUGUAAUAAUUUUAAGAGCCACGUAUUGAUGAUUGACGGCAACGAAAUUAACUGGAAGUAUGUUGUCGAAUUUUAUAGGCAUGACUCGAAAUUGCCUUUAAGAAUGGCGCCAAAGUUAACCGACAAGCACAUAGAAUUGCCUCCAUUUUCACCCAUGAGGGUGUGCCUUGCAGCCCAGGUAUUAAGUCACAGUGUGGCCGCUGGCGUAUUAACUUACGCUGCUCUCGGAAAGAUCCCUGCAGAAGCUGUGCACACUGCAGAAUUCAUUUCCAAUUUCGAACAAAUAUUUGAUUCGUGCAAUUCAAGAAAUAUAUUUGACAAAAUUAUCUACAGGACGGCAGCUAGCGCAAAUUCAAUUCACUUAAAUUUCUGGAAAGAAUCAAGAGAUUGGAUAAAAAAAUUAAGGUUAAAGACGGUUCAACAACAAAAGUUGCAUGCUUAAAUGGGUGGGUGGUAACAUUAACAGCCAUGAUUGAAUUAUUCUUUGAGCUCAAUAAUAAUCACAAUUUCGCUUUUAUGUUAACCAAUAGAUUAAAUCAGGACUGUUUAGAAAAUUCGUUUUCAAUAAUUAGAGGGAGGGGAGGUCACAGAUUUAACCCAAUGGCCCAUGAGUUUAGGGCUGCUUUGAAACAGGUAAUGUGCAGCAAAAUGAUGGUGCCGUUAGGCAAUCAAAACAGUGCUGCGGACGAGGAUGAAUUCCUUGAUAUACCAUUAAUAGAAAAACCUAAAUCUAAAAUUCAGCAGGAAGCAGACGAAAGCGAAGAAAACGUUGACAUUGAUGUUAGUGUAGAACAGGCUGAAAGCAAUACUAUUGUAUAUGUUGCUGGGUAUUUAAUUAAAAAAUUGUUGUUAAAACAUGAUUGCAAUGUAUGUAGAACGGCUUUAAAAAAUGAAAUAUUGUAUAUGGAGGAACCAUUGCAUCUGCUCACCCAUUUCAAAGCAUACGAUACAAAGAAAGGAGAUUUUGGAUCGUUGUUUGUGCCAACGGAAAAUUUUUACAAUAUAAUUGUUGCAAGUGAGAAGGUUUUUGUUAAAUAUUUCAAUAAUUACUUACAUUUAAAUAAUAUUCGUGAGAAAAUAGUAAGUAGGAUAAUUGCUACUCUAAAGUUAUCGGGUAGACAAUUAAAUUUAUGUAGCCCUGGUGUUGAAAUGUCAUUGAUUGAUUUGUUUGUCAAAUUGAGGUUGUUUUAUUCCGUUAAACUUUACAAUAGAACAUUAAAAACUGACAAAAGAGGGCAUAAAAAAAGAAUAGGAAAUUAGUUAAGGUAUCUCCCCUGUGAGAAACGGUGAUGUUGAGAGGAGCGUAGCCGGCUAAAUUGUUAAAGGAUGUACCGUAUCAUUACAUCAGACUCAGACAAUUGUCUCAGCACUGAGAUACAUUUACAUAAUUUCCUAUCUCGACGAAUAAUUAAUAUUGAAUCGAAUCAUCAGGUUAUAUAAU